UGAUAUGACCACAGCAUCACAGGAUGCAGUGGUAAAAGGGUGGGGACCUUCGGGCCUACCUGGCCAUGGAGCGGCCCAUGACCUAGUCACGCUUGUCGGUGACGGUAGCAGCUCGAUCUAUGCGACUACGGGUACCGGGCCUGAUAGGCUGACCCGGUGCAUUGGGACUGAGACACUGCCCAGACUCCUACGGGAGGCUGCACCGACGAAUAUUGCACAAUGGGCGAAAGCCUGGAUGCAGCGACGCCUGGGGUGUGGGAGGAAGCCCUUCGCGGGUGUAAACCACUGUCAGGGACUAACAAGCGAGCGAUACGAAUAGUCUCGGAAGUUGAGUACUCCCAGAGGAAGUCACGGUUAACUUCGUGCCAGCAGCCGUGGUAUGACGACGGUGGCAAGCGUAGGUCGGAAUCAUUGGGCUUAAAGAGCAUGUAGGCGGACUGUCAAGCACUUUGUGAAAAUCCCUCGGCUCAACCGAGGAAUUGCUUGGUGAACUGGUAGUCCUGGAGGCAGGUAGGGGCCACACGGAACUCUUGGUGGAACCGUUGGAAUGCGUAGAUAUCAAGAGGAACGCCAGAGGCCAAGGGCGGCGUGCCUGGGGCUGACCUGACCGCUGAGAUGCGAAAGCCACGGGAACGGACGGGAUUAGAUACCCCGGUAGUCCUGGCCCUAAACGAUGUACACUAGGUCUGAGGUCUUCUGACACACCUCUGGCCGUAACCUGAGCGUUAAGUGGACCGCCUGGGGACUACGGUAGCAAGGCUGUAACUCAAAGGAAUUGACGGGGGCUCACACAAGCGGUGGAGCAUGUUGCUUCAUUCGAUCCGACGCGAAGAACCUUAUCCUGGGCUUGACAUGUAGGAAUACCGCCCUGGACACAGGCCUGGUUGCCCUUCGGGGUGAAGCCUACACAGGUCCUGCAUGGCUGUCGUCAGCUCGUGUCGUGAGAGAUUGGGUUAAGUCCCGUAACGAGCGAAACCCUUGUCGUUAGUUGCCAACGCGUUAUGCCGGGGACUCUAGCGAGACUGCCGGUGUUAAACCGGAGGAAGGUGGGGAUGACGUCAAGUCCUCAUGGCCUUUAUGCCCAGGGCUGCAUACGUGCUACAAUG
rnacentral:rRNA from 1 species